UCCCUUACAGCUUAGCUGGUAAAGAAUCUGCCUGCAAUGCAGAAGACCUGGGUUUGAUCCCUGGGUUGGGAA
rnacentral:tRNA from 1 species